UACAGAGGUCUCAAGCGUUGUUCGGGAUUCAUUGGGCGUAAAGGGUGCGUAGGCGGUGCGGUAAGUCGGGUGUGAAAUCUCGGAGCUUAACUCCGAAACUGCAUUCGAUACUGCCGUGCUUGAGGACUGGAGAGGAGACUGGAAUUUACGGUGUAGCGGUGAAAUGCGUAGAUAUCGUAAGGAAGACCAGUGGCGAAGGCGGGUCUCGUGGACAGUUCCUGACGCUGAGGCACGAAGGUCAGGGGAGCAAACGGG
rnacentral:rRNA from 1 species